rnacentral:rRNA from 1 species
UACAGAGACGGCAAGCGUUGUUCGGAUUCAUUGGGCGUAAAGGGUGCGUAGGCGGUCGGCUAAGUCGGAUGUGAAAUCUCACAGCCUAACUGUGAUAGGUCAUUCGAAACUGGCUGGCUUGAGGACUGGAGAGGAGACUGGAAUUGUCGGUGUAGCGGUGAAAUGCGUAGAGAUCGACAAGAACACCGGUGGCGAAGGCGGGUCUCUGGACAGUUCCUGACGCUGAGGCACGAAAGCCAGGGGAGCGAACGGG